CAUACCUACUGUUGCUUCGGCGGGAUUGCCCCGGGCGCCUCGUGUGCCCCGGAUCAGGCGCCCGCCUAGGAAACUUAAUUCUUGUUUUAUUUUGGAAUCUUCUGAGUAGUUUUUACAAAUAAAUAAAAACUUUCAACAACGGAUCUCUUGGUUCUGGCAUCGAUGAAGAACGCAGCGAAAUGCGAUAAGUAAUGUGAAUUGCAGAAUUCAGUGAAUCAUCGAAUCUUUGAACGCACAUUGCGCCCGCCAGUAUUCUGGCGGGCAUGCCUGUCUGAGCGUCAUUUCAACCCUCAUGCCCCUAGGGCGUGGUGUUGGGGAUCGGCCAAAGCCCGCGAGGGACGGCCGGCCCCUAAAUCUAGUGGCGGACCCGUCGUGGCCUCCUCUGCGAAGUAGUGAUAUUCCGCAUCGGAGAGCGACGAGCCCCUGCCGUUAAACCCCCAACUUUCCAAGGUUGACCUCAGAUCAGGUAGGAAUACCCGCUGAACUUAAGCAUAUCAAU
rnacentral:rRNA from 1 species